UGGGGAAUAUUGCACAAUGGGCGCAAGCCUGAUGCAGCCAUGCCGCGUGUGUGAAGAAGGCCUUCGGGUUGUAAAGCACUUUCAGCGGGGAGGAAGGCGAUAAGGUUAAUAACCUUGUCGAUUGACGUUACCCGCAGAAGAAGCACCGGCUAACUCCGUGCCAGCAGCCGCGGUAAUACGGAGGGUGCAAGCGUUAAUCGGAAUUACUGGGCGUAAAGCGCACGCAGGCGGUCUGUCAAGUCGGAUGUGAAAUCCCCGGGCUCAACCUGGGAACUGCAUUCGAAACUGGCAGGCUAGGGUCUUGUAGAGGGGGGUAGAAUUCCAGGUGUAGCGGUGAAAUGCGUAGAGAUCUGGAGGAAUACCGGUGGCGAAGGCGGCCCCCUGGACAAAGACUGACGCUCAGGUGCGAAAGCGUGGGGAGCAAACAGG
rnacentral:rRNA from 1 species